UACGUAGGGCGCAAGCGUUAUCCGGAAUUAUUGGGCGUAAAGAGCUCGUAGGCGGUUUGUCGCGUCUGCCGUGAAAAGUCCGGGGCUCAACUCCGGAUCUGCGGUGGGUACGGGCAGACUAGAGUGUGGUAGGGGGAGACUGGAAUUCCUGGUGUAGCGGUGGAAUGCGCAGAUAUCAGGAGGAACACCGAUGGCGAAGGCAGGUCUCUGGGCCACUACUGACGCUGAGGAGCGAAAGCGUGGGGAGCGAACAGG
rnacentral:rRNA from 1 species